rnacentral:rRNA from 1 species
UCCAGACUCCUACGGGAGGCAGCAGUGAGGAAUAUUGGUCAAUGGGCUUACGCCUGAACCAGCCAAGUCGCGUGAGGGAAGACUGCCCUAUGGGUUGUAAACCUCUUUUGUCAGGGAGCAAUUGGCGCUACGUGUAGCGUUAUCGAGAGUACCUGAAGAAAAAGCAUCGGCUAACUCCGUGCCAGCAGCCGCGGUAAUACGGGGGGUGCAAGCGUUGUCCGGAAUCAUUGGGCGUAAAGAGUUCGUAGGCGGCACGUAAAGUCUGGUGUUAAAGGCAGAGGCUCAACUUCUGUACGGCACUGGAUACUUGCGAGCUAGAAUGCGGUAGAGGUAAAGGGAAUUCCUGGUGUAGCGGUGAAAUGCUUAGAUAUCAGGAGGAACAUCGGUGGCGUAAGCGCUUUACUGGGCCGUAAUUGACGCUGAGGGACGAAAGCCAGGGUAGCAAAUGGGAUUAGAUACCCGUGUAUA